rnacentral:rRNA from 1 species
CACACCGCCCGUCACACCAUGGGAGUGGGUUGCACCAGAAGUAGGCAGGUUAACCGCAAGGAGGCCGCUUACCACGGUGUGAUUCAUGACUGGGGUG